AUCACUGAUAGAUAAGGGUGUGGGCUGGGCCUACCCGCCAGAAGCCGCCUCACCCCAUCAGGCCCAGCCAGGGGUAAAGUCUCCCGUGGAAUCCCCUCCCGCCUCAUAUUCCCUGACCCUGCCCUCCCUGCGAGAACUCUAGUACGGGCUCCACAGAGCAAGCGGUCUGUCAGCAUUACACUUUGCCAGACUGGAUGCUUACUACUCAGCUAGUGAGAACUCUGCAUUGCCCCGCUUGUACAUCUGCAUCUGGGAUCUCCAUUGCUCUGUGAACUGUCUUCUUCUCCCUAAGAAGCCAAAACACUGCCCAUAACCUCCGAACACCAGAGAGGGUCCAGGGAGUACUGCUGAGAGCCUCAAGGGAGCCAAGGCAGAAACAGUAGAAGUCCCUUCAAUAAACAGGAGCUCAAGGAUGCACUGAAGAGCAUGGCUACAGCCUGGAAAAGGCCUCGCUCCAAGGAAGGAAACUGGGAAGAUGAGAGACUGGCCCAAUAGGAGCAACAAAGGGCACUGCUGUGCUUCCACCACCUGAUUACCAGCCAGAUCUAACCCUAGGAAGGCAGAGUUCCAGUCCAUCCCCCAACCAGGCACCCACACAACCUAUGUCUCACCCCUUCUUCCCCACCAGACUUCUUUCCCAACUCAGUGCUAAGGGACUAGAAGGGAAAUAGAGACUUGAGUUUUAGGACCAUUCCAGCAUGUUGCCACAGGCAAGUCCCCAGGCAGAUGGCUUUGUCCAUAAGUAACAGAAGGGAGUCAUAUUUUAUGGGGUCUGAAAGUCUCUAUUUGUACCCCACCACCCACAGUAAACCCAUAGCUUUAAAGGCAUUCACUUUGA